rnacentral:rRNA from 1 species
UACAGAGGGGGCAAGCGUUGUUCGGAAUUACUGGGCGUAAAGGGCGCGUAGGCGGCCUUCUAAGUCGAACGUGAAAUCCCUGGGCUCAACCCAGGAACUGCGUCCGAUACUGGAAGGCUUGAAUCCGGGAGAGGGAUGCGGAAUUCCAGGUGUAGCGGUGAAAUGCGUAGAUAUCUGGAGGAACACCGGUGGCGAAGGCGGCAUCCUGGACCGGUAUUGACGCUGAGGCGCGAAAGCGUGGGGAGCGAACAGG